rnacentral:rRNA from 1 species
GCUGAGGAUACGGUUAACGGAGCGAAAGCGACGUUCAACCUCAAAAGAAGCAGAGGGGGCUUAGUGGUGGGGUGACUGCGUACCUUUUGUAUAAUGGGUCAGCGACUUAUAUUCUGUAGCAAGGUUAACCGAAUAGGGGAGCCGGAGGGAAACCGAGUCUUAACCGGGCGUUAAGUUGCAGGGUAUAGACCCGAAACCCGGUGAUCUAGCCAUGGGCAGGUUGAAGGUUGGGUAACACUAACUGGAGGACCGAACCGACUAAUGUUGAAAAAUUAGCGGAUGACCUGUGGCUGGGGGUGAAAGGCCAAUCAAACCGGGAGAUAGCUGGUUCUCCCCGAAAGCUAUUUAGGUAGCGCCUCGUGAAUUCAUCUCCGGGGGUAGAGCACUGUUUCGGCUAGGGGGCCAUCCCGGCUUACCAACCCGAUGCAAACUGCGAAUACCGGAGAAUGUUAUCACGGGAGACACACGGCGGGUGCUAACGUCCGUCGUGAAGAGGGAAACAACCCAGACCGCCAGCUAAGGUCCCAAAGUCAUGGUUAAGUGGGAAACGAUGUGGGAAGGCCCAGACAGCCAGGAUGUUGGCUUAGAAGCAGCCAUCAUUUAAAGAAAGCGUAAUAGCUCACUGGUCGAGUCGGCCUGCGCGGAAGAUGUAACGGGGCUAAACCAUG